GAGCGGGCAUCGCAAGAUGUCAGCGGCAGACGGGAGAGUAACACGUGGGAACGUGCCCUUCAGUUCGGAACAACCCAGGGAAACUUGGGCUGAUACCGGAUACGUCCGUAAGGAGAAAGAUUUAUCGCUGAAGGAUCGGCCCGCGUCUGAUUAGCUAGUUGGUGGGGUAAUGGCUCACCAAGGCGACGAUCAGUAGCUGGUAUGAGAGGAUGAUCAGCCUCACUGGGACUGAGACACGGCCCAGACUCCUACGGGAGGCAGCAGUGGGGAAUAUUGGACAAUGGGCGCAAGCCUGAUCCAGCCAUGCCGCGUGGGUGAUGAAGGCCCUAGGGUUGUAAAGCCCUUUCGGCGGGGAAGAUAAUGACGGUACCCGCAGAAGAAGCCCCGGCUAACUUCGUGCCAGCAGCCGCGGUAAU
rnacentral:rRNA from 1 species